rnacentral:rRNA from 1 species
GAUGAACGCUGGCGGCGUGCCUAAUACAUGCAAGUCGAGCGAACGGACGAGAAGCUUGCUUCUCUGAUGUUAGCGGCGGACGGGUGAGUAACACGUGGAUAACCUACCUAUAAGACUGGGAUAACUUCGGGAAACCGGAGCUAAUACCGGAUAAUAUUUUGAACCGCAUGGUUCAAAAGUGAAAGACGGUCUUGCUGUCACUUAUAGAUGGAUCCGCGCUGCAUUAGCUAGUUGGUAAGGUAACGGCUUACCAAGGCAACGAUGCAUAGCCGACCUAAGAGGGUGAUCGGCCACACUGGAACUGAGACACGGUCCAGACUCCUACGGGAUGCAGCAGUAGGGAAUCUUCCGCAAUGGGCGAAAGCCUGACGGAGCAACGCCGCGUGAGUGAUGAAGGUCUUCGGAUCGUAAAACUCUGUUAUUAGGGAAGAACAUAUGUGUAAGUAACUGUGCACAUCUUGACGGUACCUAAUCAGAAAGCCACGGCUAACUACGUG